AGCAUACUUAGGGUGUGGCGGGAGAGAUUUAUGACUUUUCACGAAAGUGUACAACACUCUAGACAAGCAUUAACAUAUUGCGUUUUAAAUUAUUCUUGAGACUUUUUUGAAAGCCGCCUGCUUUAAUCCUCUUGUCAGGGAGCUGCCGUGUUAAAAAAUGAUCGCUGAAGCGGCUUUGCCAGCUUCACAUAAAAAGUGAGGCGGCGAGGGCUCCUCCCAGGAGGAACUCUGGCCGCGGGGGCCGCGUGGCCGGCGGAGGGAGUUUUUGGAGAACAUGGCUGCUGACGAGAGGAGCAUCAUGGGAGGUGUCCGGGGUCAGCCGUCCGGUCUUCCGGCAGACGCUUGAGCGAUCAACAUGGCUGCUCGGCCGAGGUGGCAGCUGCUGUGGGCUGUGAAGAAGACGAAGGGACCCAGACGGGGGACUUGAGAGAGGAGGUUAUGCCAGGUGACCUUUCAGCUUUAAAAUGGAUGAUUCUGGGAUUUCUUCUCCCAUCUGACUUCCUGGACUGUCCUUCCCCUUGUGUACGGGAGCAGCUGAAUUUAUUGAUCCCCUAGAGGCUCUGUCACCCACUUCUUCCUUCCUUCAGUGCACCCCCUCCCCCCACUUUCCUUAGGAGCCCCUUUCUUAGAGGGCUUAUACAAAAUUUAAAAUAAAAUAAAAAAACACCCAGGCAAACGAA